CAUAUACUCCCUCCGUCCUAAAAUUCUUGUCUUCAAUUUAUCUAAAUAUGAAUGUAUCUAGUCACGUUUUAGUAUUUAGAUACAUCCAUUUCUAGAUAAAUUUAAGACAAAUUUUUUGGGACGGACGGAGUACCUA
rnacentral:pre_miRNA from 1 species